UGGGGAAUAUUGGACAAUGGGCGAAAGCCUGAUCCAGCCAUGCCGCGUGUGUGAAGAAGGUCUUCGGAUUGUAAAGCACUUUUAAGUUGGGAGGAAGGGCAGUAAGUUAAUACCUUGCUGUUUUGACGUUACCGACAGAAUAAGCACCGGCUAACUUCGUGCCAGCAGCCGCGGUAAUACGAAGGGUGCAAGCGUUAAUCGGAAUUACUGGGCGUAAAGCGCGCGUAGGUGGUUUGAUAAGUUGGAUGUGAAAGCCCCGGGCUCAACCUGGGAAUUGCAUCCAAAACUGUCUGACUAGAGUAUGGCAGAGGGUGGUGAAUUUCCUGUGUAGCGGUGAAAUGCGUAGAUAUAGGAAGGAACACCAGUGGCGAAGGCGACCGCCUGGGCUAAAUACUGACACUNAGGUGCGAAAGCGUGGGGAGCAAACAGGAUUAGAUACCCUGGUAGUCCACGCCGUAAACGAUGUCGACUAGCCGUUGGGAUCCUUGAGAUCUUAGUGGCGCAGCUAACGCAUUAAGUCGACCGCCUGGGGAGUACGGCCGCAAGGUU
rnacentral:rRNA from 1 species